UGCAAGGCAAUGAAAGGAAACAAGUAGUGGAUGAUCUCCCUGUAUUCAGAGAGCUGAUGGCGGUGCAAAUCAGUGCAAAGAUCAACAUGAAUUACAAUCCUGGAGCUUCUUUUUCGUAGCAAGGAGAAAUCUUUGUGAAGGGAAAGACGGUCAUAUGAUCGUUAACAAAAUCGAGAGGUGAACAAGUUAGUUGUUCACAACUAGGGUGGUACCGCGAGAAGUUUCGUCCCUACU
rnacentral:ncRNA from 1 species